CAUGCAAGUCGAACGAUGAAAGAGAAUCCGAUCUCUUCGGAGUGAAGAAUCUCUGGAUUAGUGGCGGACGGGUGAGUAACGCGUGAGCAAUCUGCCUUACACAAAGGGAUAGCCUCGGGAAACCGGGAUUAAUACCAUAUGAUAUCUAUUAACCGCAUGGUCUAUAGAUUAAAGAAUUUCGGUGUAAGAUGAGCUCGCGUCCCAUUAAUUAGUUGGUGAGGGUAACGGCUCACCAAGAUAGCGAUGGGUAGCCGAUCUAAGAGGAUGACCGGCCACAUUGGAACUGAGAAACGGUCCAAACUCCUACGGGAGGCAGCAGUGGGGAAUAUUGCACAAUGGGGGAAACCCUGAUGCAGCGACGCCGCGUGAGCGAUGAAGGCUUUCGAGUCGUAAAGCUCUGUCCUAUGGGAAGAUAAUGACGGUACCAUAGAAGAAAGCCCCGGCUAAUUACGUGCCAGCAGCCGCGGCAAUACGUAAGGGGCGAGCGUUGUCCGGAAUUAUUGGGCGUAAAGAGUGCGUAGGCGGCAAAUUAAGUCAGAUGUGAAAACUAAGGGCUCAACCCAUAGAUUGCAUCUGAAACUGAUAUGCUUGAGUCAAGGAGAGGAAAGUGGAAUUCCUAGUGUAGCGGUGGAAUGCGUA
rnacentral:rRNA from 1 species